AGUAAAAGUACACAUGUCGGUGCAUAUGCCAGCAACUAGUGGAGCCUAUCACAGUCAGCGUAUGCAAAUAUUCACAGCAAAUUACAAUAGACCUCCUGUGUCCACAGGACGUUGAAGAUUAAGGGACACAAUCAACAUACCUUUGAAUCAAUAUCUAGUGUAUAUUUCCCAUCUUUGUCACUGUGACACGGACCCGCCCAGAACACAGCUGCACCAGGACUAUUUAACCCACGUGCGCAGGAGAAACUGCACAUUUGAUUCACAUAUCUUCAGUACAAAUUGGUUCCAAGACGGAGACACGAUGAAGGCGCUUGUUAUUCUGUGCUUUCUCUUACUGCAUGCAGGGGAAACGGAAGGUUCUCUUGUUCAGCAAGGAGAUCAAGGCCCAUGUCCACCUGGAGUCCAACUGGUCGAUUGUCUCGUUGACCCCUGCUCGAAGGCCACUUGUCCUUCACACCCAGAAGCUGUCUGCAGAUCCAACUACUGCGGAGGCUGCAAUGCCGAAUUCUUCAUAAAAGUGGAAUGUUCAGAUGCAACAUCUUAACUUCAGCAUGGGAGAAUAAAACUGUUACAUGAA